rnacentral:rRNA from 1 species
GCUUACGGCCACACCAGUGUGAGUGCGCCAAUCUCGUCUGAUCUCGGAAGCAAAGCAUGCUCAGGCUCAGUCAGUACUUGGAUGGGAGAUCACCUGGGAACCCUAAGUGCUGUAAGCU